GAUGAACGCCGGCGGCGUGCCUAAUACAUGCAAGUCGAGCGAACGGACGAGAAGCUUGCUUCUCUGAUGUUAGCGGCGGACGGGUGAGUAACACGUGGAUAACCUACCUAUGAGACUGGGAUAACUUCGGGAAACCGGAGCUAAUACCGGAUAAUAUUUUGAACCGCAUGGUUCAAAAGUGAAAGACGGUCUUGCUGUCACUUAUAGAUGGAUCCGCGCUGCAUUAGCUAGUUGGUAAGGUAACGGCUUACCAAGGCAACGAUGCAUAGCCGACCUGAGAGGGUGAUCGGCCACACUGGAACUGAGACACGGUCCAGACUCCUACGGGAGGCAGCAGUAGGGAAUCUUCCGCAAUGGGCGAAAGCCUGACGGAGCAACGCCGCGUGAGUGAUGAAGGUCUUCGGAUCGUAAAACUCUGUUAUUAGGGAAGAACAUAUGUGUAAGUAACUGUGCACAUCUUGACGGUACCUAAUCAGAAAGCCACGGCUAACUACGU
rnacentral:rRNA from 1 species